rnacentral:rRNA from 1 species
UGCCAGCAGCCGCGGUAAUACCGGCAGCCCGAGUGAUGGCCGAUAUUAUUGGGCCUAAAGCGUCCGUAGCUGGCCGAACAAGUCCGUCGGGAAAUCCACGUGCUUAACACGUGGGCGACCGGCGGAAACUGUUCGGCUUGGGACCGGAAGGCGCGACGGGUACGUCCGGGGUAGGAGUGAAAUCCCGUAAUCCUGGACGGACCGCCGAUGGCGAAAGCACGUCGCGAAGACGGAUCCGACAGUGAGGGACGAAAGCUAGGGUCUCGAACCGGAUUAGAAACCCCGGUAGUCC